ACAAUUCAAAUGCUGUAUGGCCUAUGAUCAAAUGUGAAGUUCUCAGUAAAAUGGAAUGAAAAUGCCCGUCUGAGCUGUUGAUAACUGGUAGAAAUAUGCAGUCUGUAGAUCGGUGUAUAGUUUUUACGUAAAUGCUUAUUUAAUGAUUACUUUCUCGCUCUCAAAUGAAAUUCCUGUAAUGAAAGGGGAAAACGGGAUAAUUUUGUAAAACAUCAUGAAUGCGAGAAAGGUUCGUUUGGCGAUGAUGAAUAGUGUUUCAUUUUCCAGCAUAUUUAAAUAAGUACAUUGGUGCGUCCUGUGUCUGACAACUUUGACUGGUGUAGCAACUCUGGUUGUAUGUGUCAGGAGGUUGAGCAUGCGUCGGCUGCAGGGAAGUUGAUGAUGUACUUGGAGGAGCUGCAGCUUGGGAAAAUGUAGAUUCUACUGAGGAACGUUGUCCUAAAUGUUCUAAUCCAAGAGCUUAUUUCAUGCAGAUUCAAACAAGAUCAGCAGAUGAGCCUAUGACUACU